UCAUUUCAAUACGUUUCUUCUUGAAUAUACUGUAGGAAUCGGGUAGGUAUAAAAUAAUAGCGCAGUCAAAUGCUUUUAUUUUGUAAGAUGUACCCGGAAAUAUGUCUGUGAUUAUGGCUCAUUUGUCUGUAGUGGACAGAGCUGCAAAGCAGUUGAAAUCCCCCCUCAGCAGAGCAGAAGGCCAGAGGGUCCAGCCUUGCAGUGCAGCUCAAACAUGGCGGGCUUUGGAGACGACGUGACGGGUUCGUGGUCCGGGUCCCGGCGUGCCACCGACUCCCCAUCUUUAGCGGCUCCCGCGGCCGAGGAGCAGAAACCGAAGAAGAGGAGGAGAGCUUUCUGUCUGACCAGGAUGAAGUCCCGCAGCAGCUCCGACAGAAAGCACCAACAGCCGCCCGCCGCAAACAACAACAACAUGCCGUUCAUGAUCCACUGCCAGAUCGGCAAGGAGAUCAAACACAUCUGCAGCAACUGCCGGGGAGCCGAGCCGCUGGACGCUGAGGAGGUGGAGAGGCUGGCAGCGAUGCGCUCUGAUUCGCUGGUUCCAGGCACACACACGCCUCCCAUUCGCCGGCGCAGCAAGUUCGCCACGCUGGGCCGUCUGUUCAAACCGUGGAAAUGGCGGAAGAAGAAGAGUGAAAAGUUCAAGCAGACCUCUGCAGUGCUGGAGAGGAAAAUGUCCACUCGCCAGAGCAGAGAGGAGCUCAUCAAGAAGGGAGUCCUGAAGGAGGUUUACGACAGAGACGGUUCUUCCUCUCCGGCUGUGCGAGAGGAGGUGAAGAUGGAGAACGGCUCCAGCCUGUCAGAGUCUGAAGGUACCGAGCUGAUGGAAGGAGCAGCUGCAGCUGUAGGCAUGCUGGACUUUCAGAUGCCAAGUGAGGGGGCAUGUCAACAAGACCACGGCCAAAAAUCCAUCCAGGCCCCGCCCACGAAGAAGUCCAGCGUGUAUCCGGCUGACGGCGCCGAGUCGAUUCUCUCCAGACCUCCUACGCUACACAAACAACCUCCUGCGCUGCCGCCCAAACCCUUCAACAGGCUGCCCAAUCACAUCACAGACGGCGCCCCGGUGAAGCUGCCGUGCAUGUCGGUGAAGUUAUCUCCUCCUCUACCUCCAAAGAAGCUCAUGAUCGCCGUACCUGCUGGGAGCUUGGAGCCCUCUUCGCUCGCCUUCCAGAAGUGCCCCGCCCCUCCCAGCCAUGCUCCAGGGGGCGGGCACUCGCUGCAGUACGGGACGCUCCCGGUGCCCCUGCACCCCCCGAGCCGCAUCAUAGAGGAGCUCAACAAGACGCUGGCCCUCACCAUGCAGAGGUUUGAGAGCUCCAUGAUGCACGCCGUUCCCACGGUGAUGAUCGAGUGUGACGACGACAAAGAGAACCUCCCCAACGAGGCGGACUACGAGGACAUGCCCGGCAUGUACAAGGACGAGGAGGAGGAGGACGAGGAGGAGGAGGAGGAAGACGAUGAGGAGGAGGAAGAGGACGAUGAGGAGGAAGAUGAGGAUGACACGCUGUUUACAAGCACACUGGCCAUGAAGGUCUUACGAAAGGACUCGCUGGCCAUAAAGCUGAGUAACCGUCCAUCGAAGAGGGAGCUGGAGGAGAAGAACAUCCUGCCGCUGCAGUCGGACCAGGAGAGGCUCGAGUCCCGACAACAGACGGCCACCAAACUGACCAGACGGUUGAGUCAGCGGCCGACAGCAGAGGAGCUGGAACAGAGAAACAUACUGAAACCUCGAAACGAUCUGGAGGAGCAGGAGGAGAAGAGGGAGAUCAAGAGACAUUUGUCCAGAAAGCUCAGCCAGAGGCCCACAGUGGAGGAGCUGAGGGAGGCAAAGAUCCUCAUACGCUUCAGUGACUACGUGGAGGUCGCCGAGGCUCAGGACUACGACAGGAGAGCAGACAAGCCAUGGACCCGACUAACGGCUGCUGAUAAGGUUAACGACAGACCCAAAGAAAGCUUCACCAGCUCUGCGUUCAACCAGUCAGUAAACAGUUGUUUCUUUGUGUGUCGUUCAGGCUGCCAUCAGGAAGGAGCUGAAUGAGUUCAAAAGCACAGAGAUGGAGGUGCACGAGUCGAGCCGCCAUUUUACCCGGUUUCAUCGACCAUAAGACAAGUGAGAGCUCAGCCGUGCUUCAGUACCAUCACACGGAGCCUCAAGUGUCCAGACUGCUUCCUGCUCCCCUCUCCGGCGUCACACUGACAGGCUGGACACGAACACAAGCUGUGGGCUGCAGCCAUCACGCUUUCAGAAGGACAGAUGGACUAAAUUGGCGUUUCCACUCAGUGGAGAUCUUGAAGCUUUCUUGAUAUUCAAAAGCUUUUAUUUGUCAUUUUUUUAUGAUGAACAGGUGGUGAUUUGUUUACUUUGCAGGACUUUGAAAAGGAGGUCAAACAGAAUCUGUGCCAAGUUUGAGGAUGAGAACGGCAGGAAGUGAAGAUGGGACUUUUUUGUUUCAGACUUUAACGGGGUUCUCACUCUCAGCUGGACUUAAUGUUUCAUUGGGGCGCACGUGUUGGCAGUUUUAUUCCACAGAUGACAUCUCAGUCAUCGUUUAUCUCGUUCUGCCGGAGGAAUUAAAAUAUUUACAGCAGCUUAUGCUGUUGUAGGCAGCUGAAUCUUAAACCAAAUGUCCCAAAAUCCUGAAAAGCCCAAAAUGUUCUCUGCAAGCUACCAACAGUAAACACUGAGGAUCUUCUAACACAUACAAACCAAUCAACUGAGCAAUAAUUUCAGAUUCUUUUCUGUUUAUGGGCUGCAUUCAAAACUGUUCAGACUUCAGAUCCCCAUUUUAAACCAAAGCAACUUGACUUGCUGUGGAUCUUGAAUGCAUCCCAGAGUGACUGAGAGUUCAGUAACUCAUUGUGUCACUGUGCCUACAGGAUUGUUUACAGGAAUUUAGAAGUUGCCAAAUUUACUUGUUUCACUUGAUGCAGAAUAUUAUCUGUGGACACGUUAAAGUUGCCGAACUCUCUGCUGAAAGUCGAACGUUUUUUCUAUUUCAUUUUUUAUUGUCCGAGAUGAACCUUCAGCGGUACAAAAAAUGAAAACCCUGCCACCUUAGUUUCUGUUUUUUAUUGUUUACAGUCCGUAUUAGCCUCAUGAAUUGGCAGUUUUGACCAAAUUACUGGGUGAACUGGUUGAGUGCGAGUGUGUCUGAGUGUGUGUGUGUGUGUGUGUGUGUGUGUGUGUGUGUGCACAAGCAUCAGUAAUAUUACUGUUGAAAAAUGUUUUGGGGGGAAAAAAAUACUCUCAGAAUUCUAAGACUUGUACAUAGCAAAGAAAGUAAGUGAGACUUUUCAAAGGUUUUUUGUAAAGCAGAAAAACUGCAUGUGAGUAUUAAUUUAUUGUGAGUCUUCUAUGAUGUAUGCAGUUUCUUAAAGAAAGAAACUUAUUAAAAAAUAAGUUUGUG